GGGAUAUUAGUUUAAGUAUAACGCAAGCUUUGUAAGUUUAAGAUCUAAUGAAUAUUAUG
rnacentral:tRNA from 1 species